AUGCCCCGGGGCCUCCAUCCAGCGCAGCCCAGCUCCUGGAAGGCGGCUGCCCUCCCACCGGCACUUGCUUUGGGUUCCAGUCUCCUCUGUCCUUGUCCUGCACCCCCACCCUCACUUUGCUUUCUCCCAUCUCUGGAUGCCUGGCCUCCCUCCCCUGCCAUCCUGACCCCGGGAAGACUUUCUCUCUCUCUCUCUCUCUCUCUCUCUCUCUCUCUCUGUGUCUCAUUGUUAGUCUGGCUCUGUCUCUCUGUGUGUCUCUGUCAGUCUGUUUCUCUGUGUCUCUGUCAGUCUGCGUCUCUGUCUCUCUGUGUCUCUGACAGUGUCUCUGACAGUCUGUGUCUCUGUCUAUGUCUCUGUCAGUCUAUGUCUCUGUCUCUAUCUCUGUCUCUCUGUAUCUCUGUCAGUCUGUUUCUCUGUCUCUGUAUCUCUGUCUGUGCCUGUCUCUCUCUGUGCCUCUGUCUCUCUGUGUCUCUGUCAGUCUCUGUGUGUCUCUGUCUGUCCCUCACCCACACACUUCUUGCACAGGAAAUUGCUUCCUCCUGGAUGCGUUUUCCUCCCACUCUGCCCCGAGCCUGGCGCACACGAGAAACACCUCCUCAUUUUUCACCUUUGAACGCCUCCCCCCGGGAGUUCUCCCCAGCCCCGUGCAAAACGGGGUACAGGAGGGCUCCCCAGGCCUGGGGAGGGCAGCCGUCUGUCCCCAGGAGCAGCAGGGCUGGGGACUCCACCUGCCCGGGGCUUAGCACGCUCUGGCUCUGGGGUCAGCACAGAGUCUGGCACGAAACAGGCAUCAGGUGCACGGUAGGCGAGCAGGGGCCCAGACGAGCACGUUCUGGGCCGACGCGCUGCAGGCCGAGCCGGGCAGCCAGAGCCACGGAGCCGGCACCGCGGGUGAGCGCGUGGCACCCUCCGAGCCCGUGGCACUACCCUGCCAGGCUGCUCUGGCUGCAAGUCGGGGGCUUGGGCUCCAGCGGGGGUCUGGCAGGUGGGAGACCGCCAACGCGUUCCUCACGUCUGCCUCAGUCUGUCUUCCCAUGA
rnacentral:lncRNA from 1 species